CUCGCUGGCUCGGGCUGGGACGGACGGGACAGGGGCCCCACGCGACGCGACGCCGCAAGGACGCUGUUCGCCCCGCCCUAGUGUCAGCAGCACGCCGCGCAGCUGUCAGACGCGCCGCCCUGCCUGCUAAAGGCGUCUGCUCAGCUCUGCUCAGCUGCCCCGGAGCUGUGAUACUCGCCAGCAUGGUGCGGUGCGCGGGCCCUGCAGCCAUGCCCGGCAGGUAGAGGACGCCCGGCGGCGCCUAUGAGACCCGAGGCGGGGGACGUGCCAGCCAUUUUCCACCCCAAAGGGCGCGGCGGCGGGGGCGGCGGCAGCACGGGGGGCGGUUCAGGAGCCGGGAGCAGCGGGGGCGGCGGGUCCGCGUCCGAGGACAGCACGGCGGGGCAGUCGGCGCACAAGGGACCGUUCGGCCAGACCCCGAGGCUGCAACACUCCGACUCUGUUUUUUCUACGACAGCGGCCAGCGGACAUGAGUCCAUCCCGGAGUCGGCCAUCCCCGUGGUCGCACGGCCGCGGCGCCUCGCAAAGUGCAAGGACUCGUGUUGCUCGGAGCCGGCCAAGAAGAUAUACUACGGCGUCUGCAUCACCAUCUGCAUGACGGCGUCCUGGGUGGGCGCGACGCACAGCAUCAAGCUGCUGUACCUCCGCCACCCGCUGGCGGGCUUCGGCUACCACGCGGACCAGCUGUUCCCCGCGCGGCCCGGCCUGGAGGACGUGCUGCCACAGACGGUGCACCCGCUCGGCGGCCACCGGCACGGCCACAGCAACGCCAGCACCACCGCCAUCCACCACUACCUUCUGCGCGCCUCCUACAACGCCCCCUUCUUCACCACCUGGUUCAUCACCAACUUCACCAUCUUCUUCUUCCCGCUCUACCUGGCCAGCCGCCUGCUGACGGCGCGGUGCGUCUCCUGGGGCGAGGUCCUCGGCGAGUGCGUCCGCGGCUUCCGGGACAGGGGCUUUACUCCAGCUCGCUUCCUGACAAGAUGCAUGCUGUUCUGCCUGCUGUGGGUCGGCACCAACUACAUGUACAUCCACUCGCUGCGGAUCCUGCUGGCCACGGACGUCAUGGCCCUGUACGCGACCAACGUGAGCUGCGUCUACCUGCUAUCCUGGGUGAUCCUGCACGAGCAGUUUGUCGGCGUCCGGAUUGUGGCGGUUAUCCUUUGCGACACGGGCAUCGCACUGCUCGCCUACAUGGAUGGCAUCACGGGAAGCCCCACCCUCGGCGGCGUGGUGUUGGCGGCGUGUGCUGGCGCUGGCUCGGCCGUCUACAAGGUGCUGUUCCGGAAAGUGAUCGGUGACGCCAGCUACGGCCAGGUGUCGCUCUUCUUCUCGCUGAUCGGACUCCUCAACGCCUCCAUCCUGUGGCCGCUAGUGCUGGCACUGUACCUGACCGGAGCGGAGACCUUUAACUGGGAACAGCUGCCGUGGGUGGCCCUUCUCGCGUCCAGCGCGCUGUCCCUAGUUGCAAAUCUUCUUGGAAACUUCGGAGUCGCAAUCACGUACGACCUCUUCAUCACUCUUGGUCUGAUCACAUCUGUCCCAGUCUCUGCAGCUUUGGACGUGGUUCUGUAUGGAGCACACUUCGCCGGAAUGAAGUUAGCAGGGAUGAUUCUGAUAGCAGUCGGCUUCUUUCUGGUCAUGUUGCCCGACAACUGGCCUGACUAUAUCACUAGGCUAUUGAGAAAUAUCAUCUUAUUGAGUCACAGUGCUAGCGCCAGUGUGUCCGACCGGAUCCAACACCACCGCCCUUCCUUCUGCCGUCGCGACGCCAUGCCGGGCCACGAGGACCUGUACCAGCCCCGCCUGGGGCGCGCCGAGCGGUCGCUGAGCCGAGCCGACGCCCUGGUUGGAGUCGGCCGCGAGCGCUCCCUGAGCCGGGCCGAUGUGCUGGCGUUUGGCCGCACCGAACGCUCGGCCAGCCGAGCCGACGCGUUCGCGUUCGGCCGCACCGAGCGCUCGGCGAGCCGGGGCGACGCUCUCGGAGUGUUCGGGCGCGAGCGCUCCAAGAGCAUCGCGCCCAUCGGCCGGCCCUAGGCAAUGCCGUGCUCCGCGGUGCUCCGCCAUGCUCCCUCUCCCGCUCGCUCUCCCGGCCCGGCUCCCCUCUCCCCUCUCUUUCUCUCCCCGAGAGGGGCCGGCCGGCAGGCGGACAGCAGUUAGUGGAGCCGCCGCAGCCGGCACGGGCUGCCCGGCAGCCAGCAGCGCACCGUGGUGGACUACCGCACCGGCUACAUCCGCAGCCACCUGAGGUCGCCGUCGGGCAGGGUCCGGUGACCGGAGGAGAGCCUGCAGGGUCUGCUGGGCCCCGACACGCCCCCGCACACGCCCCGCAUGGCCUUUGGCGAAGACUGAACCCCGUGAACCUGCACGGCCUGCCGCACGGCCUCGGUGCGGGCGCCGGGGACGAGCGGGGCCGACUGCGGACGCCCUCCUUGCGCUCGGCUCCACACCGCCGCCGGGACAGCGAGAGGGUAGACUAGGGAGGACCAGGGAACGCCCAGUGCUCAGACAAUCGGUGCUGUGUGUUUGUGUCGUGUGAAUUUGUGGCACCGAGUUAGGGCGUGAGAGCAUACAUGGAAGUGAAUGUUUGCAUGUGUAUGUAUGUAUGUAUGUAUGUAUGUAUGUAUGUAUGUAUGUAUGUAUGUAUGUUGAUUGAUUGAUUUAUUGAUUGAUGGAAGUUAUUGGAAGUAUCAGUAGACAUAUGUUUGUGUAUUUACGUUUAUAAUAUCUCGAAUAUCUCUGUAUGUAAUGUAUAUGAAUUGAUAUCGCGAUCUGUUAAUCUGUUCUUCAUCUUAUGCUCAUUUCAACUCAGUUUGCUCAUGUACGCCUAUCCGCAACGACUUUCCAUGAGAAUUGUGUAUCACUGCGAACUUGGUGUACCCUGGGAGAGAAUUUCACCUCAAUAUCGCGAUCUUUUCUUUAACUAUAUACUUCAAAUCGAUUUCAUGAUUGUGUCACGGCCAUAAAGCACACUCGAUUCGACGCUGGUUUCUUCCCUUCACUACUAAGCCUUAUUGUGAUUUUUUCAUUCUUAAGCAUGCAUGUUAGCUUGUAUUAGAUCGAAAUCAUAUGCAUGAUUGUCUGAAAACAUUAUUGACUGAGCUGUAAACUCGGUAAUUUCUAAUUUUUUAGACCUUGAUAGACUCUCUUUACAAAUCUUUUUCACCCCGACCCUGAAGUUAUAACCAUGUAACCUGUGUAAAUAAAUGUUUAGAUGAAUCAAAA